rnacentral:rRNA from 1 species
GGGACAACAGCCAGAAAUGGCUGCUAAUACCGCAUAAGCCUGCUGUGCCGCAUGACACAGCAGGGAAAACCACGGUGGUACAGGAUGGGCCCGCGUCUGAUUAGUUAGUUGGCAGGGUAACGGCCUACCAAGACAACGAUCAGUAGCCGGCUUGAGAGAGUGGACGGCCACAUUGGGACUGAGACACGGCCCAGACUCCUGCGGGAGGCAGCAGUGGGGAAUAUUGCACAAUGGGGGGAACCCUGAUGCAGCAAUGCCGCGUGGGUGAAGAAGCACUCCGGUGCGUAAAGCCCUGUCAGCAGGGAAGAAAAUGACAGUACCUGGACAAGAAGCCCCGGCUAACUACGUGCCAGCAGCCGCGGUAAUACGUAGGGGGCAAGCGUUAUCCGGAUUUACUGGGUGUAAAGGGAGCGCAGGCGGCGUGGCAAGUCAGAUGUGAAAACCCGGGGCCCAACCCCGGGAGUGCAUUUGAAACUGCCAUGCUGGAGUGCCGGAGAGGUAAGCGGAAUUCCUAGUGUAGCGGUGAAAUGCGUAGAUAUUAGGAGGAACACCAGUGGCGGAGGCGGCUUACUGGACGGUAACUGACGCUGAGGCUCGAAAGCGUGGGGAGCAAACAAGAUUAGAUACCCUGGUAGUCCACGCCGUAAAC